CACCGAGGAACAGGAGAGGCCAGGCUCCUACCCCCUGCAGAUGGCACAAACUUCCCGAGGCCUCACCCCAUCCCCCCAAUGCACAGAAACACUUUGCCAACCUCUGGACUAGACUGAGUAAAGCAAGCAGAAAGAUCCAAUUUUAAAAAGAGGUGAGGAAAAUGGGACAACUUGGCUAUGGAGAGAGCAAGAAGAAUGCAACUGAUGUGCACAAAGUUUGAAGACAAAGUUACUCAGUUUAGAUCAGGGGUCCACAACCCCCAGCCAUGGACCAGUACUGAUUUGUGGCCUGUUAGGAACUCAGUUGCAGUAGGAGGUGAAUGCCAGGUGAGUGAGGGAAGCUUCAACUUUAUUUAAA
rnacentral:lncRNA from 1 species